UAGGAAUAUGGAUGAGGUGUUCCUUACA
rnacentral:piRNA from 1 species